UCGUAUGGGAUACCUAAAGUUCCCAUGGCGAACUGCUCAAUAACACAUGAUCAACUUACCCUAUAGAGAAGGAUAACCUCGGGAAAGCAUCAUUGUGGAUUUUUAUGAUGAUGCCCCGAAACUGAGGAUAAUCCUUCAUAGUUGAAUAGGCUUGGAAAAGUUAUUCAACGAAAGGGGAUAAGAAAAAUGGUUCUUAUCCCGCUAUAGGAUAGGAUUGUGGUCGAUUAUGGUAWUUGGUGAGGUAACGGCUCACCAAGCCUAUAAUCGAUAGGGGCCGUGAGAGCGGGAGCCCCGAGAUGGGUACUGAGACAACGACCCAGGCCUUACGAGGCGCAGCAGGCGCGAAACCUCCGCAAUGCACGAAAGUGCGACGGGGUUCCCAAAGUGCUCACUCUUGAGCUGUGGUAGGUGAGUAAUAUCCCCUACUAGAAAGGAGAGGGCAAGGCUGAC
rnacentral:rRNA from 1 species